UGGCAAAAUUUUUCUGGUCCCUUUCUCUUUUUCGCCGCUUACGAAUUUGCCGGUAAAGGUACUGAAUGCUGGCAACGGCGUAGAAAGCGUCGAUAGUCGGCGAGCUAAAAUUACUCUUUUUUUCAAUUUUCUCCGAGAGGGUUUCGAACCGAGCCAUUCAAUCUGGCAAAACCGUGGCCGCUUGAAAAAAGACGAAGCAUCAGCUUUCGACGAAUACAAGAGUGAGAUAGACCGAUACGUGGAACGAAGGGAAGAAGAGGAACAGAGACAAAAGUACAGAAACGUAAGGAGAGCACCUGGUUUAAUGACACCUUGUUAACCGCACCAUUGUAAUGGUAAUAAACACGUACGACCAAUACGAGAGUGUUGACUCUCCGACGCUAAGGAGGGGUUGCUCCAAGGGAGUGUCUGCCCCCCAUUUAAGUCUACAGCCAUGAUUCCUUAUCCAUUUUGUGCGUUUGAGGUUUGCCGGUGUCACAUGUCACCGUGUGAGGGUUACGUCCAGUGAUAGUGUUCGUGGCUUUUGGUGUUUCCACUUUUCCUUUCCGCGCGUUCAAGUCUUUUCCAGUGUUUCUGAAAAGAGGUAUCCAGCAAAAAAGUGCUACGCUUUUUUUCGUGCGGAUCAAACAUGUUUGACAAGCUCGCAUUGGAAAUCCUCGCAUCUGUAGUGAUCGUGACGCUUAUACGCAGCGGAACUUGUGACGUGCCGUCAGACUGGCAAAGUGGUGCGGGAAGCAUAGCUCCCAGGAGCCUCGAUUCAAGGAGUGAUGCUGAAAGUAUAUCGCCCAGGGGCCCUGAGAUGGGGAUUAAUGCGGGUAGUAUAGAUCUUAAGGGCUCGGAAUCCGUUAAAGAGCGCACGGCGCGGGACUGGUCAACGACCGGUUCGACCGCCGGGAGUUACUACCCUCCAUCGAACGGCUAUGUCGGAGGUCCUAGCUACGUGGACAGCUAUGGAGUGCCCCAUUCGGAUUAUCAAUACCCAAACGCCGGAGCUAGCAGCUAUUCUUCUGAAGAGGCCAAACCCAAGCAAAGGCCAAUCGUCCCACCCAUUUUCCCACCCGUAUAUCAGGGAAUGCCGAUGACCCCAGUUGAGUGUCAAAUGGCGGGAUAUUCGAACGUUUUCGGAGACCUCUUCCGUUUCGGAGGGCUCAUCAAAGUGGGUCUCAUAAAAGCAGGUCUCACGGCCCUUGCGGCUGGCCUAUUAACCAAACUCCCUCUACUCCUUUUCAUCAAGACCCUUAUCGUUAAACUUAUCAUUUUCCCGAUCGGCUUCUUAGUUUUCUCCCUCCCUGUUCUCUUACCUCUUCUCCUUUUCUUCCUCCCCAACAUGAUGAAGGACAAGCAGCCCAUCAUGAUGAUGAUGACACCUGAAAACGCCAAUAACAGUACCAGUGGUGGGGGCAAGAGACCAGGCACUCGGGAUUUCCUGUACAGAGUGUCCGAUAAAAAUGGCGAAAAGGGAUACGAGGACGAAUACGAGGAGGAAUCUAGAAAAUCAAGGGACGCGGAUACCUAUCUAGACUCAAUUCUAAGUACGAUUUUUGACUCGCAACUGUGUCUGCAACGCAUUGCAUGUCAGCUCGGAGUCAGGGACGCGGAUUCCAAAUAUAGGAAGUCUGUUUCGUGGGCGCUGAAGUAUCUGCAGACAUUCAAAAUGGCUGAAAGCAGCCCCGAAAUUCAAGCAAGACUGAAAUCGUACAGGAAUGCCUACAACCUGGGUGCUGAGCAAAAUUCUACCGAAUUUUGCUCUUCAGACGAACGGUUCCCAUGUGAAACGCCACAUAUCGUCCUCAGACAAGCAAAGAGAUCGAUCACCUUAAUUUAAUCAGUUCACUUUGGAAACUGGAACCUUGGGAAUAAAUUUUACUCAAAGCAGUUGAACGGAUAUUCGCACAGUUACUUAUCACAGGACUGCAGAUCGUGUUGGAGAUCUCUAUACCUACACUUUUAAAUUCAUAUUCACAUGACAUAGAUGAUAUGUGUCACAUGAACUUCUUAAAAUUUUCAAUUCAGUCCCCAUAAAUCUUAGGUGGAGUUUUUUUUACUAUUAUUUACACAAAAGUGAAUAUACUAAAGAAAAAAUUGACACAUUUUUUCUGAAUUCCCAAAAACAAUAAAAACAUUUGCUUCUAUUUCUCAAGCCUCUAAUAACCAUCCUAAAAUAGUAGAAUAAUUUCAAUGAAGAUGAUGAAAUAGAACCGUUUAAUUUUGACUGAAUAUAUUUUCUUGUAAUUUCAAAAUACUUCUGAGACAGGAAACCUCAUUUAAGAGUUAAAAUAAUAUUGAGCACUAGUGCACAAUGUGUGGUGGUUGCUGCUCUAAAUUAUGGAAAUAUACCGCAUAAACACUAUAUUUUGCUGUGAGCUUCCUAUUAACAUCCUCUAAAAUAACCGUGAAACUGUUUUUCUUUGUCAUGUGUGAUUACAUCAUGGAUUUUAUGAAAAAUAGUUUGGUAUUAUGGGCUCACGCAUAUCCUGAUGAAUCCAUAUUGCUUAACUAUAGUAGCUACAACCGAACAAAAUAACGCUCUGUUUCCAUACAUGAGUAUAGAAAAAGACGCCAGUUUAGCAGUCAAUUGGUAAUGCACCACAACGCAACUUUAUCACUUUGUAAAUAUCUUUGUAUCAUUAAUUUAUUUGUACAUAAGUUGAAUAAUUAAGUCUGUAACUUAUCAUGUGCCAUUAUUCAAACAAAUAAAUGCAAAACCAGACUUAACUAUGAUUUAUUUACCUAAUUUCUUCAUGAUUUUAAGGAAACUCUCUCAUAAGGAAUUGAUUUGAAAUAUCAAGCAGACAUUUUCUUGAAACUACUUGAGUAUUUUUAGAAACGGAAGUAUUUCUGUCAAACGGAACUAAGCGCACAUUUGAGUUCUUUUUGAUGAAUUUAGAAUGCCGGAUAGCGCGUUCUGUCGAACGGAACUAAGCGCCAUAGAAAUGCAUUGCGAAUAUAGGACGGAAUGAGCCCGGCGCCCGGUUCCGCCGCCAAUCCAAGCCUCUCUCUACCUUCCUCCCCCUAUGGCGCUUGGUUCCGUUUGACAGAAGUACGUCCAAAUGGUGUUUGGCAAGAAAAAGUCUGACAUUAUUCGACAAGAAAGGAAAAAGUGAAAAGGAGGAACAGCAUAAGCUACGUGCUGCAGCAACAAACGGAAAAAUAAAGAUAUCAUAGCAUAAUAACAUGAAAACUUCCUUGAUUGGGCGAACGUUCAGUCUUUUCUUUUCUUGUAGCUUUUGAUGUAG
rnacentral:lncRNA from 1 species